rnacentral:tRNA from 1 species
AACAGAAAGUUAGUCUAAUCAAGACAGCUGGUUUCGACCCAGCAAAUUAUAGCCCACACCUAUAACUUUCUC